AAUUGGAACUCACCACAAACAUGGCAUGCAUAACAAAAGCAAGGUCCACGUCUUCCUUUUCUGUUAGAGUGGAAAAAAUGUUCUGACUACUGCUUAGGGAGGGAGGACUCUGAGUUUGCAUUUGAAUUUACCGUGUAAUGCAGUGGUUUAAAAAUCAAUACAUUUUGAGGCUUUCAGAGCCACACCGCCGCGAAGGAGUGAGCAAACCUCUCUUCUUGGAACUGAGGCAAGAUAACAUCUGGAAAAGGUGUCAGAUGGGUGCUGUGAAGGAUACAUAGAGAGCAAGGUCAUGUUUCCCAGUGGAUUCAGCCCUGGUAUGAUAUGAAUCAUAAUCUGAAAGAGACAAAAACAGUACAAGAGCAGCUUGAGAGCUGCGGAAAUGAAGAGAUGCAGAAAGGCUUUGGCUGAAACACACAGUUUCAGAGGCAGAUGGCUCUGACUUGAUGCUGUGAUGUUGGUCCUACUGAACCUGCUUUGACUCAUGGUCUGGUUUUCAAUGCAUCUCAGACAGCAGAAGAUGAUCUUUCUCUGGGAACCAAUCUUCUAAAACUAAUGUAAUGGCAAAAGGCAGGGAGGGUUCUCCCAGCUCCCCCCAGGCUGUCAGAUGUUCUUCAAUGAUUAAACGUGAGUGACCUCUAAAUUUAGAUGGGUAAGUUUGUUUUAAUUCAUCCUGAAAUUUUAAUUUGCGGUGAGUUUGCAUUGAGUGAAGAGAGUUUUUGCAAUUUUAUAAACCUCCUGAAAUGAGAUUGCACACAUUAAAAACAUAUCACCAUACAGAGUGCACUGUAGAAAUGGAUCUUGAAAAGGAAGAUGUAUGUUUUCCAGUUAAUAUCUACUAUACAAGGGAUCUCUUUGGUCUCUUACGAUUCUAUUAUUAUUGGGUCUUUUCCACGAUGGCAUGUCUCCAAAGCCUCUGUCCUGGUGAGAUGCCUGCAGCAUCUCCUUUCCAAAUGUUAUACGUACCCAGUGAGUUUGAACAGAUUUUUAAUACCCUGUGUUUUGGCUGAGGAUAUUCUUCAGCUACUAAUUUGCAUUUAUUGUACUAACUUUGCAGUAGAUUUUUUGCUGUAGGCCAGAGAUCAACUUCUGGAUUAGCACCUGCAACGAGUUUGGCUCUGAGCUCAUGAUUUGGGUUCAAGGAAACAUCUGGGCUAUGGAUUACGUGCUGUGACACUGACACUGCACCUCCAAUUCCAGGCCCCAGUACUUGGAUGAGAAGUAUUACAAUCAGUACAUACUGUGGUGUAGGUAUCAUUGUUCCAAUUUCCAGUUGGGAGAAACUGUAUUUGGAACAGUACUCUGUGCUACCAGCCUGAUUCUGUGCCCACCUGGAGAGCUGUGCUGCAUCGCCAUUGCUACAGGUUCCUCUGAACAGUGCUGUUACUUUCUAGGCCAAUAAGCUCUAGAAAAACAACUCAUUCAAGAUGAAUAUUCCAACCAGACUCCAGGGGGAAACAAAACAAACAAACAAAAAAAAAAAAAAACAAUGAAAUAAAGCAGCAGAGAAUAACAAAAUCUACAGUUUUGUGAAAACAUUCCCCCGAUUUCCAAACUCUGAAGAGCUCAAAACAGUGACUUGAUGUAUAGGUGGCUACUGCUACAGACACACUGAAGACCCACUCAGAUGUUCACCUACAUCAUUCUCUGGGUGCAGUGAAUUGAAUGGAACUGCUAUCCUCUACUUAGACUGGGAAAAGUAUUAUUCUUUUUGCUUCAUCUCACAAAUUCUGUGGGUUUCCUCUCCAUAGUACCACCACCAGUGCCCCAGAUGCAGCUUUUGGCAGAUGUGGGCAAACCAGGAGUCAGUGCCUCCCAGUACUGCAUCUAAAGCGGAUUGAAAUGAUGAUACAGGCCACGUCAGCUGCUCUUCCACAGCUGUGGCAUCCUCCCAAGUCCUUACUGCAAAGCAGAAGUCCUUGCUGGGUGCCAACAUCCCCUGGGCAGCAGGAAGUGUCAUCAGUGCUCUGUGACACGACACUGAGGCUUUGGCACUGUCAGGAAACUCCAUACUGUUGUCAGACCUAAUUGGAGUUCUUCCGCUGCCUCUGGAGUGAACCGAUGGGGUACGUCAGCACAAUAUGUCCUCGGGAUUGAGACACUCAGGACUGGGUGCCAUCUACAGCCGGGGCUGUUAAAUGGGUUGAUUCUGGGCUGCGCAGUUUCCAUCGCAAAGAAAGAUUUCAGCUCCUGUGCUGGAGCAAAAAGGGGAAACAUCUGCCUUAAGGAAAUAUGAUUCUUCCUUUAUUUCUUCCAUUCAAUAUUGAAUUCUACAUGAUAUUUCCAUGUGCAACCAUCAAGGCAUAUUCUGUCAUACUGUUAUGAAAACCUUCACAAUUGGACUCCAGAGAUCAUCAGCUCUGCUGGGCUCCAAAACUAUUCCAUGAACUCUGAGUCAGCUUCCAAGGCGCUCCCUGGGCUUCCCACACCAGCUCUACCCCAGUGCUUCAGCUCCUGCCCAUGGAAACAGAGCCCUGAAAAGUUCUGCACCCAGAGCACACGCUCUGUUUCUUGGAUGAGGGCAGAUUUUGGAUCCAUCCUCCUAACUCCACUGUCAACCAGCCGUGAGUUGUUACCUUGAUUGUUACUGUGCACUGCUGCUUUUCUCUAUUAACAACUGCACACACCUAUCAGCUCCAGAUAAAACAAAACUUCUUGGGGACUGAUUUCAUGAUGCCAAAAUGAUAAAGUUGGCUAAAAAAUGUAGAGUGAAUGUGUGAGCUCUGGAAAACAUUAACAAAAAUAACCAAGUAACACUCCCCGUUCAUACCUAAUUCCUACCGACAUCAAAUUUAGCUGUGUGUACUUUGGACUCGCUGGAACUCAACUACUGUUCGAAAUGCCCAAUAGCUUGUAGUCUGAUUGCUCUGUAAAAAAAGAUGUGUUGUCAUCACUGUAGUUUAGGCAGAUUCUCCAUUGUCUGCUCUCUUGUUAUGGGCAUUUACAUCAACACGGAGUGGGUGUACAGCAGCCAGCAGUCUGUGUUAGCAGCACUUUGCAGUCAGUUUGCACUUACGUAAAGGAUUGUGCAAGAUGUGAGAGGGAAUCUAGCCCCUGGGAAUUCUGUGUGUUUUUGGGCGUAAUCUUGGUCUGUGUAGCCAACACAUAAGAAUAUAGAGGAGUUUUAACAUGCUGCGGCUGCCAUCACCCCUAAUAAAUAGAUUGAACCAUGGAGUUCUGUCACACUCACACACAGGAUCCAGAACAGUCCAUGUUUUGUGGUGGCAGAUACGCAGAAAUGUGAGCCUGUAAGGAGCGAUAUAUUGCUCUGUUUUUCACAGCGCUCUUCACCAGGUUCUCAUACCGGUCAGAUAAAAACACUUUUUGGGCCAAAGAAAGGUUCCAAAAAAAAAUUACAGCCUGUGGAGUUUUCCAGAAUGUCUCUUUGCAGCUCGGAACAAAACUGGUGAAUUCAGUUCCGUUGGGCAGAAUUGGAUUGUGACUCCAGUUUAGAGAAGCCAAUAUUGCUGCAGUCAUUGGGACAGCCCAGAAAGAAAGUGUUAUGAAGGUAUGUUUAUGGAGCGGGGCCAUGUGUUCCUUCCUUCUACCUCAGAGCCAUAAAUGCUGCAUAUCCCACUCUGCAGCGUGAAGGUGUCCCAGCAGGGGUAUUAAUGUAGUGCUAUCGGGGGCAGGAGGAAAUGGAGGCACCUUACCCACGUGCUCCCCGAGGAUCUGCCAUAUGUUGGUUGGAAAUCUUUGACAAGACUCAAAGCACCAUUAAAGCUUUCCUGAGCCGUUUAAAUGUAUUUAUUUUCACGGCAUUGGUGACAGUGUAUAGGAAAGGGACACUCACUGAUAGCAGCAUGGCUCAUACCCACAGACCUCCAGUGCCAAGCAGGAAGAGUCCUCAGAAAGUCGGGAUGCAGAUAUUAGGGAUGGGUCUCUCUAUGGAGAUUUGGGAUCUUCUUUUUGCUGCCCACAGCCCCAGUUGGAGUAGCAAAGCAGGAACCAAGAGCAGUCCCUGGCUGCAUGCUUAAUUCUCCUGAGGUUUCCCAGUGGUGGGGCACCAUGGGUUCCCAGCACAAAGCAAGGAUGUCUAAAAGCUGGCAAGGGGAUUUGUUUUCCUCUGACCUAAUGCCUAGAAACUGCUGAACCAGUUUUGCUGAGACCUUACAAAUCCUCAGCGUGAGGCAAAUUUCCCCAGAUGAGAAUUUUUUCCACCUGAAAGAUUUAGAUUUGGCAUAAAUCAUCAUCAGAUGAACGUAGAGGUGUAGGAUGGAAAAUGAUAAGCCCCUGCCAGCUCUGCCUGCAACAACAAUUCACAUGUUGUCCACUGCUUUUUGACCAAGAUUUGUCUUAUUUUGCUACAACUAAUUAAUACUCUUAGUGUUGAACUAAUGAUGUUUUGCUGCAGCUAAUGAAUAUUUUAACCUGCCUGAUGCUUGUUAUGGUUGCAUCUCAUUGGCAAAUGGUGAGGAGGAGAUGUGAGAGGUGAAUGUCUACCAGAUGAGUGAUCUGAAAGACAGAGUGCAGGCUGACAUCACCCCACAACGUGCGGUGCCGCUGUCUGAAGCUGUCUGGCUGCCAUGGCGCUAGGAAAAUCAGAGAGGUGAUCUCCCUCCUAUUUCCUCCUUGGAUGGGGCUCAAGGCUGUGGCCUCACCUCUCUUGGAAGCAGCUUGCAAUGCCUUCAAUAAUGGGAAGGAUUGGAAUAGCUGAGGGCGGGAUCCUCCUGGAAAGCGCCAGGUAGCGCUGGGAGACGACUUUGGUUGCUGGGAGAUGGGCUCUGCUGCACUGCCUGCAAAUUCUGCACAGCCCUACAUGGUUGUUUUGGCCAGGGUGAUUAAUCUCUGGUCCCACAGUAUCAGUGAGGGCGCUAUUAUGGGCAAACUCCCAUUUCUGAAAGCAGAAGCUGGGCAAGUCCCAGUCCAGAAAACCACACCAGUGGGAACCAAAUGAGUGGGGUGAGCAGGGUAUUCUGUGCUCUCAGACCCACUGCUUCUAUAAAUUGAGGAGUUUCUUUGUCUGCAACGACAACCCCAUGGAUCAGAAACCCUCCUGGGGGGUGUCUGCAGGUAAUCGAAUUGUGGGGAGUGGUGGAGAACACCGCCCGGAGGCUGCAGCCACCUUCAGGAGCUCCGCAUUCCCGAUGCUCGCACGUUAGGUGUUUGGUUUUUACUCUCCAUUGAUCUUUUGUCGGAUGUUAUUGGUUUGUUGUUCUUUGUCACGUUGUCGAUGUCUCUCCGCUCAGUGCUGCUCACAGCACGGUGGGACUCCCGAGCACGGCAGGGUAGGGCCGCUCCGCUCCCCUCAGCUCCACAGCCAUGACACAAAGGGGCAGCACGGCGGGAGGGUCCCUGUGGCUCCAGGCAGCGCGGUGCUGCUCCCGACCCCGACGGCAGGGUCUCGGGAGCGGGGUCAGGGCCGGCAGAGGCGACGAAGAGGAAGGGGGGCCGGGAUUUGUUUUAUUAUGUUCGUUUUUUGCUCGUUCCCUCAGCUCGGAGCCCCUCGAAUGGGAUUUCGCAGAGAGCGAUCGGUAGGACAGGGCCCCGCCGUUGUUGCAGAACUAAUGAGUUCUCCAGGCGCUCCCUUCGGGCCGA